rnacentral:rRNA from 1 species
UGCGUAGGUGGGCAGGUAAGUCAGUGGUGAAAUCCUGUAGCUUAACUACAGAACUGCCAUUGAUACUAUUUGUCUUGAAUACCCUGGAGGUGAGCGGAAUAUGUCAUGUAGCGGUGAAAUGCUUAGAUAUGACAUAGAACAUCGAUUGCGAAGGCAGCUCACUACGGGAAUAUUGACGCUGAGGCACGAAAGCGUGGGGAUCAAACA